UUGACCUCGGAUCAGGUAGGGAUACCGGCUGAACUUAAGCAUAUCAAUAAGCGGAGGA
rnacentral:rRNA from 1 species